GAUGAAGAACGUAGCGAAAUGCGAUAAGUAAUGUGAAUUGCAGAAUUCAGUGAAUCAUCGAAUCUUUGAACGCACAUUGCGCCCCUUGGUAUUCCGAGGGGCAUGCCUGUUCGAGCGUCAUAUUAACCACUCCCGCUUGCGGGGUCUUGGGCUUCGCCUCCGGGCGGGCCUUAAAAUCAGUGGCGGUGCCGUCGGGCUCUACGCGUAGUAAAUUUUCUCGCGAUAGGGUCCCGGUGGAUGCUUGCCAACAACCCCCAACUUCUUACGGUUGACCUCGGAUCAGGUAGGGAUACCCGCUGAACUUAAGCAUAUCAAUAAGCGGAGGA
rnacentral:misc_RNA from 1 species